CUGGACAGUCCUGGAACCAAUCACCCAAAGAUACCAAGGGAUGACUGUGUUUAUAUAUGGAUUUGCAUGCAAUAAAUAACUUGGGAAUUAAGCAAUUUACCCAAGACAAGCCCCUACCAGAUGCAGAUCUGGACCCAGGCCUGGGCUUGCAGACUUCAGAGGCAGGGUCUUUUCUUAGCCACCCCUAGACCUGACAAGGACAAGCUCAGCUGAGGGAAUGGGCAGGAAGGAUACCCUGGAGCAGGGAGUGGGGUGUAGAGUGGCCAGGGAACCCUGGGAUCAGGAGGUAGCUCUCCCAUUCCCUGGUUCACCAUCUCUGACCUUCCUACCCCUAGGAAGGGAGCCCAACAGGACUUCAUGCAGCAUGCAGCAUCCAGAGGGAUACAAACAGUUCCAGAGAGGAGCCACACACACACAGGAGGCUGUAGCCAAGAACAACAGGAAGCUUCUGCCCCCCUGCCCACUGCAGUGCUGGCCUGGAGACCCAGGAUAACAGAAGAGUGAACUGCAGGUUGGAAAAAUUAUAGAACCUGUCAGACUUGCCGCAAAAGCAGAACCCAGACUUAAGGCUGUCGGACUAGCCAUCACUGGGACCCAAGGGGCCAGGACUCAUACUUCUCCUGCCCACCGUCUUCCUUCUGUUCAAAGCCCAAGCUCUUGGAUCUGUUUUCAUUGUAGUGAAACAUAUCCAGGUAAUGUUUCGAGUGUGUUCCCUGGGCAAGGUAUUCCAGUCUAUAUCAGGACAGAAAAAAAAAUGUAUGACAUACACUAUGUGAACAUUUAGCUUGUAUUCUGUCAGUAUUGCACUUAUAUUUGACCAAGUUGUACUUUGAUUAUGAGAGGGCUUUGUAUUUUUUAAGGGUCAGAGAUUCCCAGAUCUGGUCUCCAGCCUGAAACUAAAGUUCUAUGGACCUGGAGGAGGAAAGAUGGGAAGGAAGCCAUAUAGAAAAUAGGAGGAGGCCACGGAAAAGAGCUCGAAGAAGGCGGUGACCAAGGCGCAGAAGAAGGACGACGGCAAGAAGCGCAAGCGCAGCCGCAAGGAGAGCUACUCCGUCUACGUGUACAAGGUGCUCAAGCAGGUCCACCCCGACACCGGCAUCUCGUCCAAGGCCAUGGGCAUCAUGAACUCCUUCGUGAGCGUCAUCUUCGAGCGCCUCGCCGGCGAGGCAUCGCGCCUGGAGCAUUACAACAAGCGCUCGACCAUCACGUCGCGGGAGAUCCAGACGGCCGUGUGGCUGCUGCCGCCUGGCGAGCUGGCCAAGCACGCCGUGUCUGAGGGCACCAAGGCCGUCACCAAGUACACCAGCUCCAAGUGAGCUUGGCAAGUAAGCUGUCUUUACACCUAACUCCAAAGACUAUGAAGAUCUAUGCAUGAUUUCGAUCGAUGAGUUGUAAUUUUUUCACUCGGAGCAAUUUUUUUCUUCACUGUGUACUUACAACUUAGUUACCAACCUUUAAUGUUUCAUCAUUCCCGCAUACGAAAUACUUGAAAAGUACAGGAAAUAGCUAUUAGAAGUUGUCUACUCCCUACGGGCCCGUACAAGUUAAGUGUUAACUAUCACGUAAAUAUAUAACCAAUAUGAGCUGCAAAUGGCAUUCUAAAUUUGCAGCUCAUCGUGCCGUUAUACAGAUCUCAAGUUUUUCUUGAUCUCUGAGUUGGUGAUGACUGCCUGCCGUGAGCACAAAAAAUUGUGCUCUGGCAACUUCUAUCUGCUCAGAGCUGGCAUUUUCUUUUACUUUUUUCAUCUUUACCAUUUAGAUGUGUGAUAUUAAAACGUGGCUGAAGACAAUGUGAGAUUUCACUGAAAUAUGAAAAGCUUUCCUGCAGUCUCGCUUUGCUGCCCAGCGGAUUUCCAGGCAAGGCUAUGAUAGGCAAAGGGGCAGGCAGAGGCAAUUAUUUUGUAUCCAAAAGGCCUAGAGAAGAGAAAGGGAAGCGGUCUUUGAGACAAUUGCGAGUUGUCUGUUACAGUAGCUUUCUAAGAAAGUUACUUAGUUUAUGGUCAUUUUGUGCCUUUUAGCUUAAAAUUCCUCAGAAAAUAGGAGGAUUCCUCACAGAGGUCCACACUCAGGUGAGGGGCUGGAGCCAGGCUGUGGUGAUCCCUCAGGGGCUUGUGUCACCUGAGACAUGCUGACAUUCUGAGGAAUUUAAGUACAGAUUCUGAGUCUCCUUACUCUGGGGCCUAAUGUGAUCCCCAUCUCCCCAGCUAUAGGACGAUUUGCCCUUAGACUGACUCAGAUCAAAGCUUUAGUGUAUCUCAGGAAUAAAGCCUUUCUUCUGCAGGUCCCCUUGGUUUUACUCUUUAUUCAUUCAUUUUAUCUAUUUAUCCAUCUAUUCAUCCAUCCAUUCCAGAGACAUUUCUGGUGUAUCCACCAUAUGCUAAUACUAGGCUCUGGGAUGUAGGGAUGAAUGCCCUUGCCUCCCAGGAGUCCAAGUUCUAAUGCAGAAGACAGACAAGAAAGCAGUUAUGGAGCAGAACUAUCAGGACAGUGACAAUUGCAAUUGCAGGAUCUGAGCUAGGAAGCCUUUGGCUUGGUCCGUGUGCCAGGUCCUAGCAGGGUGUGUGUGUGCAUACUCACGUCUUUGCAGAGGGAAGGGGUGAGUGUAUAUGGAGGCUGCCAGAAGGGACUGUUGGGGACACUUGCUUUCUUCUCUUCAGUUUCCUUCCAUGUGCCAAGUCCUCUACUAGACACCGGACCUCUUGCCAGACCCCUCCCCCUUACUCAUCAUCUUCCCAGGGGAGGUGAGUGACUUAUCUGAUUGGAGAGUCUGCAGUUCAUGAAGGAAAACUAGGACAGGGUGACUCAGCUCUAUCCCUGGUUGAGGCCAUUCCUGUCUGCUCUUCCAUGCCAUAAACUUUACAGAGGUCAGCUGUUGGGGCAGGGUGCUGCUUGUAGCUGGGUGAGUGGGUUCAGUACAAGGGGAGAGAAGGCAAAACCCACUUGCCUGAUAUAGUUAAGGCAACAUCCUCCAACCCAGCUUUUGCCAGUGUUUUCUGUUUUGAUUUCCACUGGCCCAGUUCCUAUGGCAGGAAACAAAGGUGCUAUUUGUUGGACUCUCUUGAACUCCAACACAGAUGAGGCUUAUUGUUGUCCCUAAGUGGAUGGUAGGGGUGGGCUCAUCACUUUGGCUUGACUGAGAGCAAUCGAUAUCCACAUGCUGAGCCUUGAGUGACACUGGGCUCUGUAGAGAGGAGAGGCACACUUUCAGGGACUUCCCUCCUUCAUUCCCUGCUUUACCGCUCCCUCUGAAGCAGCUCUGAUGCAAGAAAGGAAAAGCACAUCAGGAUGAAAGGAGAAAAUCAAGAUGGUCUUCUAUUAAAGUCUGUAGCUGUUCUACAAAGGUCAUGAACAGCCCUUGGACCAGGCCUGGGGCUCCCACUGAUGUGUGUCCCCGAUAAGACACAGGGUAGCUGGCUGUUUUCCUUUUGGGCUGUCUUCAUUUUGGAAAAGGCCCCUUUUGUAAAUGUGUUCUGGCUUGCCUUUCUGGAACACCUUUGCCCUCUUGUUUCUCAUGUUUGUCCAUUUCCUGUGGAGCUGAAUUUUGGAUUAUAUUUGUCCUUAGAAGAAUAUACUGUGUUCAUGUUGUCCUGUACCUCUUAGAAGACAGGUCAGGGGUUUCCUCACCCUCAGCCCCUUCAGGUGACAGAUGAGUAAGAUGCAGAGGGACCUUUGGUGGUGGUGGUGAGGGGUGCUACCCAGAAGGAAUUGGCAAAUACUCCACUUACCCACCUUUUAGUAUUUUUCUGUCAGACAUUGUCAUUUCCUUCGUUAACUCUAUCAGCUGAUUCCCCAACUGGCAACAGGGUCGGUUUUUUCCUAGUUUCAUGACAUCAAAAGCUUCACACAUGUUUAAAUACUGCAUUAUUGUUCUGGUGUGAGAAACCAAAAGUGGAAAUAAGGACAAAAAUGUAUAAUAGAUACUGGGAAAUGGGAAACGGGAAGAAAAUGUUCAAAUGGGAAGGGGACCAAGGGAGAAGGGAGGAAGAAAGGAAAGAAGGGACAAGAAAGAAAGUGUAAAUAGAAGGAAAAAAUGGAAACAAAACUUUUGUGUAUAGGGAGGGGAGGGGCUUAAGAAGAGGGGA
rnacentral:lncRNA from 1 species